rnacentral:rRNA from 1 species
UGGGGAAUAUUGGGCAAUGGGCGCAAGCCUGACCCAGCAACGCCGCGUGAAGGAAGAAGGCUUUCGGGUUGUAAACUUCUUUUCUGAGGGACGAUAGUGACGGUACCUCAGGAAUAAGCCACGGCUAACUACGUGCCAGCAGCCGCGGUAAUACGUAGGUGGCAAGCGUUAUCCGGAUUUACUGGGUGUAAAGGGCGUGUAGGCGGGAUGGUAAGUCAGAUGUGAAAACUAUGGGCUCAACCCAUAGCCUGCAUUUGAAACUAUCGUUCUUGAGUGUUGGAGAGGCAGGCGGAAUUCCGUGUGUAGCGGUGAAAUGCGUAGAUAUACGGAGGAACACCAGUGGCGAAGGCGGCCUGCUGGACAAUAACUGACGCUGAGGCGCGAAAGCGUGGGGAGCAAACAGGGUUAGAUACC